GUGGGGUUGUAGCUCAGUGGUGGAGUGCUUCCCUUGCAUGUGUGAGGCACUGGGUUCAAUUCUCAGCACCACA
rnacentral:tRNA from 1 species